rnacentral:rRNA from 1 species
GUGGGGAAUAUUGGACAAUGGGCGAAAGCCUGAUCCAGCCAUGCCGCGUGUGUGAAGAAGGUCUUCGGAUUGUAAAGCACUUUAAGUUGGGAGGAAGGGCAGUAAGUUAAUACCUUGCUGUUUUGACGUUACCGACAGAAUAAGCACCGGCUAACUUCGUGCCAGCAGCCGCGGUAAUACGCAGGGUGCAAGCGUUAAUCGGAAUUACUGGGCGUAAAGCGCGCGUAGGUGGUUUUGUAAGUUGGAGGUGAAAUCCCCGGGCUCAACCUGGGAACUGCCUCCAAAACUGCAUGACUAGAGUACGGUAGAGGGUAGUGGAAUUUCCUGUGUAGCGGUGAAAUGCGUAGAUAUAGGAAGGAACACCAGUGGCGAAGGCGACUACCUGGACUGAUACUGACACUGAGGUGCGAAAGCGUGGGGAGCAAACAGGAUUAGAUACCCCGGUAGUCC